UAUGGCCACACCAUAUUGAAACACGAUUUCCUGUACAAUUAUUAAAGUUAAGCAAUAUUGAGCUUGGUCAGUACCUAGAUGGGUGACCACUUGGGAAUACCAGGUGCUGUU